rnacentral:tRNA from 1 species
GGUGCUGUAUCUCAGUGGUAGAGCACCCGCCUCUCAUGUGUGAGGCACAGGUUCAAUCCUGAGCACCA